GGGUCAGUAGGUUGGUCGUGCCACCGGUACGUACUGGUCUCACUGAUUCCUCCUUCCUGAAGAACCGUAAUGUCAUUAAUUUGGUGUUGCGGGGAAACAGGACUGUUACUUUGAAAAAAUUAGAGUGUUUAAAGCAAGCUAACGCUUGAAUACAUUAGCAUGGAAUAAUGAAAUAGGACGAUCGAUCCUAUUUUGUUUGUUUCUAGGAUUGACGUA
rnacentral:rRNA from 1 species